UGUAAUUGAUCGCAAUCGUGCCUCACAAAAAGAGAUGCGUAGGCCCUGACGAAGCGUUUUACCAUUUUUGAGCACUGCGGGAAAGUCU
rnacentral:RNase_MRP_RNA from 10 species